UUGAUCACUAUUUGAGAAAAUACCCCACA
rnacentral:misc_RNA from 1 species